UACAGAGGGGGCAAGCGUUGUUCGGAAUUACUGGGCGUAAAGGGCGCGUAGGCGGCCUUCUAAGUCGAACGUGAAAUCCCCGGGCUCAACCCGGGAACUGCGUCCGAUACUGGAAGGCUUGAAUCCGGGAGAGGGAUGUGGAAUUCCAGGUGUAGCGGUGAAAUGCGUAGAUAUAGGAAGGAACACCAGUGGCGAAGGCGACCACCUGGACUGAUACUGACACUGAGGUGCGAAAGCGUGGGGAGCAAACAGG
rnacentral:rRNA from 1 species